rnacentral:lncRNA from 1 species
AUUUAUAUAUACAUAUGAUAUUUUUCUUUCUUCCUUAUGGCCAAUAAUUUUUCUUUUAUUCUUAGUUCAAACACGCAACAUUAAUCCUAUAAAAAAAAAAGAAAAUCGAAAAUUUUGUAUGUAUAUAUAUAUAUGUGCGUGUGUAUACAUACAUGUAAACGUUACGACGUAGAGCCAUUGGAGGAGUUGUGUGUGUGUAUUUGUGAAGAAAGGUAUUUAUUGUUUAAUAUCUCAAGCCAUAUUUCAAUAUUAUUUUAUACGAGAUGUUAUAGUAAGCCCUAUUUAUUUCCGAAGAAACGUACAAAACAAAUAAUAAAACAAAUUGUUGGCUCGGAAAAUAAAGAAAAAUUGUCAAUAAACUGUAGUUUAAAAAAAAAAAAAAUACUUUAAAAAGUAUACAGAUAUAUAUAUGUAUAUAAAUUCGUAUAUUUUUUGAAAAUUUUUUUUUUUUUCCUCGUAGAAUAUAUCCUUCGAAGGUCGAAUUGUUGGAGCGGAAAUUGAAAAUUCAUGCGAGAUCGUGCGUGCAUGUCAUUUCCGGUUGUUAACUCGAUUCAUAGGAUACGAAACGUAUAUAUAUUAAAACGUGCGUCAUACGUUAACGCAGAAUACGCAACUAUAUUAAUAAAUAAAAUUCGAAAUUAAAGCGUUAAAAAAUUAUAUAUAUAUAUAUAAUUAGGUUGGUAGUAAAGCUGUUCGAUUCCAAUCGAGAAGAGAGAGAGAGAGAGAAAACGUCUCUUCGAAGUUUAAUGAAUAAAAAUUUUU